rnacentral:rRNA from 1 species
CGGUUGAUCCUGCCGGAGGUUACUGCUAUCGGUAUUCGACUAAGCCAUGCGAGUUAAAUGUUCUUCGUGAACAUAGCGAACUGCUCAGUAACACGUGGAUAACCUGCCCUUAGGUUCGGCAUAACUCCGGGAAACUGGAGAUAAUUCCGAAUAAACCAUUCAUGCUGGAAUGCUUUUUGGUUCAAAGACUUCGGUUGCCUAAGGAUGGAUCUGCGGUCUAUCAGGUAGUAGUGGGUGUAAGGUACCUACUAGCCUACGACGGAUAUGGGUUGUGAGAGCAAGAGCCCAGAGAUGGAUUCUGAGACAUGAAUCCAGGCCCUACGGGGCGCAGCAGGCGCGAAAACUUUACAAUGCGGGAAACCGCGAUAAGGGGAUACCGAGUGCCAGCAUAUUAUGUUGGCUGUCCACAUGUGUAAACGGCAUGUGUUAGCAAGGGCCGGGCAAGACCGGUGCCAGCCGCCGCGGUAACACCGGCGGCCCGAGUGGUAAUCACUUUUAUUGGGUCUAAAGGGUCCGUAGCCGGUUUGAUCAGUUCUUCGGGAAAUCUGACAGCUCAACUGUUAGGCUUCCGGGGAAUACUGUCAGACUUGGGACCGGGAGAGGUAAGAGGUACUACAGGGGUAGGAGUGAAAUCUUGUAAUCCCUGUGGGACCACCAGUGGCGAAGGCGUCUUA